rnacentral:lncRNA from 1 species
UUGGCACCGUAGUAUCGUGUCGUAGCGUAGGUAUGCUACAGGUAUACUUUCUACGUUCAUAGUUGCACAACCACCUCAUUGACUUAUUAAUCGAAAACAUACCGAUAUCAGAUGUGAUAUACAAUGCUCAGGAAUUAGUCCGAAAUGAUUGUUCAAUCAUUCGUGGCGAUAACGUCCGAAAAAUUCACCGGUGCGUGGGUCGUGUCCCAAAGACCAUGAACUUCAAAGUCUGGUAACAGAGCAAAGUAUUCAUUUUUUCUCACACUUUUCGCGUACCACGAAGAACUGAACGGGUGAGGAUUUUUUCGGCGAGUCUGUCGUGACGACCAGUGAAAUGACCGAGUCAACUCGUGAAAGAGAUCGUUGCGUUUCGUUGCGUCUUUAAAGCGAGGAAGCAAAACGUAGCUGGAGAAAGCUAUAAGGAUGUCGCAAGUUGAAGUGGUAAGCUCGAACAGUGGCCGGUCCGAUCAGUCACCUAUUGACCACUCGCGACGCAGAAUCGAUUU